rnacentral:misc_RNA from 1 species
UGCUCUUUGCUUGCGCAACAACUGUCGAACCCCUCAUCUGUUUCAUUUUGGCCCGAAGAYUGAGCUUGCUCUUCUCGGGCACGACCCUUGGUUCCUGUGUUGCCUUCCCGUCGUACGGAAAGUUUCGUGAGAUUGCCCCCGCCCCUUUCCCCGUUGUGGCUCUGCGGCUGCAAAGUGGACCUCGAAAGCAGACCACGUGUCCCGGACAUGUCCUCUGACUGUUGUCGUGGAUGUAUCGGUGCACUGGACGACUGCUCGCGCUCUCGGAUGUGGAAAAUUAAGCGGACAUGGGGGGCUCUCGGCCCCCGGUUUCUCCCAAUCAAGUCCCUCGAUAGGAAUGACUUUCGAUACCCUCAAUGACCGCAGGUCGUCCNGGCCCNNNNCAGCAAAUGAGGGACCGAAGUCGAGAGAGGAUGCUA